rfam:Musa acuminata subsp. malaccensis Doubled-haploid Pahang (DH-Pahang) genomic chromosome, chr1
GUCUGGACGCAGCGGUUUAUCGAUCUUUUCCUGGCCUUGUUGGAUUUGGUUCUGAUCUGGUUGGGAGUUCGAGGGUGCAAAGCUGGAAUCGGUCGAUAAACCUCUGCAUCCGGU